rnacentral:rRNA from 1 species
UACAGAGGUCUCAAGCGUUGUUCGGAUUCAUUGGGCGUAAAGGGUGCGUAGGCGGCGCGGUAAGUCGGGUGUGAAAUCUCGGGGCUUAACUCCGAAACUGCAUUCGAUACUGCCGUGCUUGAGGACUGGAGAGGAGACUGGAAUUUACGGUGUAGCGGUGAAAUGCGUAGAUAUCGGGAGGAACACCAGUGGCGAAGGCGACUACCUGGCCUGUUCUUGACGCUGAGGCGCGAAAGCUAGGGGAGCAAACGGG